rnacentral:sRNA from 1 species
AUCAAGACGGAAGUAACAGCGGAAAGGAAGUUCCAAGGCCCGCGCUGGGAAAAAGGUGGGGGGGACCAGGGGAAGACUCGGAGUGCGAUGGCGGCGCAAAUUCCAAUUGUGGCCACCACUUCCACUCCCGGAAUAGUCCGGAACAGCAAGAAGAGGCCGGCCAGCCCUUCCCACAAUGGCAGCAGCGGCGGGGGCUAUGGCGCCAGUAAGAAGAAAAAAGCGUCCGCUUCCAGCUUUGCGCAGACGUGCCUUUCGCCUUCCACCAUGAUUGUGAGGCCUCCCCAGCCACGUGGAACUGUGAGUCCAUUAAAUCUCUUUUUCUUUAUAAUUUACCCAGUCUUAGGUAUGUCUUUAUCAGCAGCAUGAAAAUGGACUAAUACAAUAAAUUGGUACCGGUAGAGUGGGUUGCUGCUGUAUGUAAAGAUACCCGAAAAUGUGGAAGCAACUUUGGAACUGGGUAACAGGCAGAGGUUGGAACGGUUUGGAGGGCUCAGAAGAAGACAGGAAAAUGUGAGAAAGUUUGGAACCUCCUAGAGACUUGUUGAAUGGCU